rnacentral:rRNA from 1 species
AAACAUGUCUGUAUGAAUUGGAUAUUUAGUCUGACCUGCCCACUGAGGUUUAAAGGGCUGCGGUAAUUUGACCGUGCAAAGGUAGCAUAAUCAAUAGUCUUUUAAUUGGAGGCUUGAAUGAAAGGUUUGACGGAGGAGAAGCUGUCUUUUUAUUAGAAUUGAAUUUAACUUUUGUGUAAGAAGGCAUUAAUGAUUUAGAGGGACGAUAAGACCCUAUAAAACUUUAUAUAUUAUAUUUAUUUAAUAAAAUAGUUAAUUAAUUAUUGGUGGUUAAUUAUAUUUUGCUGGGGUGGCAGGAAUAUAAUUCUAACUGUUUUAAAUGUAAAAUAUUUAUUAAUAGAGAGUGGUCCUUUGGUUGAGAGUUGAGAGUAAGUUACUUUAGGGAUAACAGCAUAAUUUCUUUUGAGAGUUCUUAUCGAAGAUGGUAGUUGUGACCUCGAUGUUGAAUUAAAUUUUCCUUUUAAUGUAGGAGUUUUAGGGGAGGGCCUGUUCGGCCUAUAAAUAUUUACGUGAUCUGA